GGUAUCUUGCUGGAGAUCCCUCUAUGCCUCAGGCUUUCUAAAGGUAAGCAGCUUCUUUCCUUUACUUCUGUCCCCACGGCUGUUGUGUUUGAGCAAACUCUCGCUUGCUGCAGGGUAGGACUGUGCUGCUCUGCUGCUGUUUGCUGCAUUUUCUGUUGUGUUGUACCAAGCCAAGUGGCUUGUGGUGUUAGUUCAAUUCUGUUGCUGUUUUUUGUGAUGGCUUAUAUGAGAGAAAAGUCAGUUUUCCAAGGGAAUAUGACUUCCGAGGCUGUUUUCUUGCACGCUCCUCAGACUGUUGUGGGUGGGGCAGGAAUUUUCCCAAAUGGGUUUUGGCUAAGAGACUGGCGUUAACAUCUUCUCUCAGAAAGAAAUGGAGCCGAAAGAGAGAAGGCUUCAUAAUCAGGACUGUGCAGAACUUCCAGCUUACGUCCCAGUGGUACUUCUCCAGCAGCAAAGAUGCCUGGUAGACCCUGUGUUUCCACUGAGAAGGAAAAUGUUAUCCUAAAAUCUUGUUUGCAUGUUUGUUCUCGAGCUUCUUAACAUGCAUGGUUUAUUUUUAGAGAAAACAAUGUCAGCCAGAUUUGUACUAAUUGUUGGCAACAGUAUGUUAGUCCCUCAAAUGCUGACAGGGAGACAAUGUUUGGUGAUUGCAGUCGUGCAAAGCUAAAAAUGACUUUAAUUAAACAAUCAUGAAAAAUACUUUGCAGUGAAGGAGCUGAACAGCAGGGUUUUUGGUUUGGAGUUUCAUUUGUAUGUUUUGGGGUUUUUGACUCAGCUGAUUGCAGGUGUUGUGUGACAAAUUGGAUAUGCUUGUGUUCUGCCUUGAAUCAUUGCUGGUUUUGUAAAAUAACAAAACCAAAAGCUAUCAUCCUCCUUAAAAGGAGUUGGUGAGAAGUUCCUCUCCUUUCUGCCACCCCCAUCCUAGCCUUGUAGCAACUCUGUUUCAGCAGGGCUUACAUUUUUUCUUUUGUUUUUAAAUUGACUAUAGUGGAGGUUUUUGUGGUGUUCGGGGGUUGCAUUUUGACGGUGUUGUUGAACUGCUCAGUUAACUCCUCCAUUAAGCCCUGCUGCCCCUGUGGUGUGUGCCCCAGGGCUGAUGGGGGGAAAGGGGGGGCUGCCUUCCUGCUGUGAGCUGGGCCUGUGGCUUCAGCAGUCCUCGUGUUAUUUCCUUACUUGUAGGAAGGAGAAAGCAAAACAUGGCAUUGAGAUUUCCUUAUAAUGGAAAACCUGGGGAUAGAGGUGCUUGGUGUCGGCUUGGUUUGUGCAGCCCUGGGGAGCAGCGGGUGGCUCUCUGCAGCCCUCGGAACAAGGCAUGGCAGGUCAGGCUGGCUGCCCACAGGCUGCUGAGGCAUUCUGAGGGUGCAGUGCAGUGUGUGUGCUGCUGAGCAGUGCAUCUGUGACACCAGGCUCUGCAGGCUGUGCUUGUGAUGGCCUGGGGCUCCGGAUCCUUGUGAUGAGGAACCAGUGUCUGCAGCUCCUGCUGCGGCUGCACAGAUAUGAGCAAUGUGUCAGGCAUGCUGCACCAGGAAGGGAUCCUGCCUGUGAGUGCCACCAGCUAUUUGCUCUUUUGGUCUAGAAUUAAAGAGUGCAGAGCAGUUCUUGCCCAAAGUGUUUGUUUUUCCUUUGUUUGCCAGGCUGACAAAAGAUGACAAAGAUUUAGUGUACUUCAAUGGCUAGAAAUGACAUGCUGCUCCUCAUCUGCACAUCUGGCAUGGCUGAGCUUUCUGAAUGACAGAGCAGGCUGGUGGGUGUCUCUGGCUGCCCUGUCACUCAGCUGCUAGCUCACCUGAAGUGCAGGUCCCCUGGGAUUUUGCAGAUUUUCACUGCUGUUUUCACAAGUGAGAGGACAGCUUGGGGUACGAGGGCAGCGUGUGGAGUUAAUAGCAGUCCAAAGGCAAAGGGAGGGAAUGAGGAGAUGCCUAAAUGCAACCUGAAGUGAGUUCUGUUCUUACAGAACUUGGAGAAUGAAUUGCUGUUAUCAGAGGACACCAAGGUGCAGUGUGUGACCAGAGGAGCAUCUUUAAUGCUGUUGGCCUAGCUCAAGAGGAGUGUGAGAAACGUUCAGCUGAGCCUGCUGGUAGUGCUGGGGAGCUGCCAGUGCUUUGCCCUGCCUUGAGAUGUGCUGAGGCCCUGUGAGCAAGAGGAGCAUUUGCAGUCUGAGGGGGCACGAGGGGAGGCUGUGCUGCCUCUGGAAGCUCUCUGGUUACAGGCUUACUGGUUUGAAGGAGUGCUUUGACACCGCGUGCUUUAUUGUCAAGUUUCAUUAUAACUUCAUAAGAUCUUAAUAAGGAAGUUUGGAAAGAGAGUGGGGGGGGGAAAUCCUGCAUGAGAAUGAUAGAUGUUUUCAAAAGUAAUGUUAAUUUUAUCUUUAAUUUUUCUUUAAAUCUGUAUGUGCUUGUAGAAGGUGAUGCUUCUGACUCUAGAGAGGUCCUUGUUAGCAGCCCUUUGGUCCUUUUGAUGGCAUUGUAGUAAAUGAAUUUUAAUAAAUACAAAAUCAUGGUUCUGUUGUACUUCCUCUGCCAUACCGGAGUACAGCUGUGAUUUGGGCCAACACACCUGUUUAGUUUUGUUCUAUAGGUUAAUGAGGCAUAUGGGGAUGGGUUUUUUCCAAUUUUUUUAUUUUCCUUGAGAAAUCAAUUCUAUAUUUUAUGUGAUGCCAGAGUGAGCAGAGCGAGGAGCCCAGCAGCUUGCCUCUGAUUCCAGUGCUGCAUCUUGUCUACCUUAAAUCUCUAGCUGUUCUAAAACCACUAAGAAUUAAUUACAGAGGCUUCAAACCUUCCCUUCUUUGGCUCCUGCUUAUGGUAGCGGCCACAGAAAUGAGGACUUGGAUAGAAAUAAACAGUGUUGCAUUUCAUCCUCUGGUUUGAACAUUUUUUUUCAUCUGUAGCCUUUCAAGUGGCGUUGCCUAUUGAAAUGUGCCUAUUGGUGCUGAAUCAAGUGGCAGGGCUCCACCAGGCUCUGGAGUGCCUUGCAGUGACAGUGCAGGGGACAUGAGGUGUUUCAAAGAAAUGAACAAAUUAAAGAGCAAAGAGAGCAUAUUAAAAUAGCUCAGCUUUAAAGGGCCUUUGAAUGUACUUCCCAGUGGCUGGGUCAGAGCCGUGCUGUUCGGCCCGGCACAACUGCUCCUUCCUCUUUUGCUUGCUUGCAUUGCAGAAUAGAGGGGAAGGAAGAAAGGGCAUCUUAUACAAGUAGGCUAGCCCUAAACCUUAAAUGAGUUGGUUUGUUUUUGGGUUUCUUAAUUGCUCUUUCAGCACCAUUAGGUCACAUUUCAUAAUUCUUGCUGUGCUGCAGUGGUUAUUAAAUUAUUUUGCUUGCAACACCUCAAAACACCUCUGUUUCAGUGCAUGCUGUGGCCGUGGAAGUUUCUUCCAGAAGUAAAUGUAUUUGUGUACCAUCUUUAGAGCAUCAUCAUCAUCAUGUUUAGCAGUUCGGUUCAUUAUUGGUAUAAGCUGCCUUUCAUUGUGAGUAAUGUCUAAGCCUGUUUUGCCUCUGUCUGCUGGUAUCUGUAUGUGACUGCUGGCACAGGCGGCCGGAGGGAGGGGGUUUAGCAGAGCACAUAAGUAGAGAAGGGGAGGAAGGGAUGCAGGUGGGCUGCUGCCUGGCAGCCUGCACAGGAAGCAGGGCGAUGCUCUGUGAUUUGCUGGGCUGGAGUCUCUUGAAGUGAGGAAGCGUGGCUGUUUGCUUCUGUAGGCUGGGGGUGGUUUGAGGUUCUCCUGUCUGUGUGGAUUGUGUAAUAAGUGAAUUUAAUUAAAAAACCACCCCCAACAGACCAAACGCUUGGUGUCUGAGUAAGGACAGCAUUGGUAUUUUUGCCCGCAUUAAAACAGCUGCUGCUAAAGCUGUUUGCAAGGUGAUUCCUAAGGAAAAAGAGGGAAGCAUUGCUGGGACAGUGGCAGCGCCUGUGGCAGUGGAGGCACUUACAGGGCGAUGAUGUUGCUGCUGUGUACCUGCUUUAAUCCUCUUAUCCCUCCUCUGGUUGCUCCAUAGAAAUGCUGAGAAGCUGCUAUGGCCUUCUUGGAACAAACAGCUUUUAUGCUGAUUGUAUGCUGUGAGAAACUGCUCCAGUUCUAGUGAGGCAGUGGGCAGAAACAAAGUGAGGAACUUGGUUGGAGGAAGCAGAGCAUAUUCCAAUUAGCCAGAAGAGGCAAGAAGGAAAACACUGAGAGAAAACCCAAGCAAGCAGCCAGGAAAGCCGGCACUGUUUAUUUUUGGCCAGAGCUGCUGAAUGGAAGCUGCUUGUAACUAGUGUUGUUGGUGGCAGUGCAGCCAGGGUCGGGUUACAGCGCUGAUUCAGUGACCAGCAAAUGGUUUUGCUUUUCUCUUUGCUCUUCCCCUUUUGCACAGACUAUUUGCAGCACUGCUCUCUUUCUUCCUGGCCCUUCCUCCUCCUCUUUGGUGCUCUGUUCUUCCCUGGGUGUUGUGAACGCUGGAGGAAGAUGCCGGUAUCAUGCAAUUUCGUCCAGCAAACCCAGCAGCUCUGUAGCUUUCCAUAUCAGAGAGGAGUCCAGGUGUGCCUCUUGUGUGGAUCCUGGCUCUGAGAGCUGCUUGUAUUUCAGAGCACUGCAAUCUCAGGAGGGCCGAGCUGGGGCCGGGGGCUUCUGAGCGGCUCUGUGUUGGGAUGGCUGCUGAGCUCUGGGGCCGUCUGGGUGUGGGAUGAGCAGGUGUGAAAUUGCACAUGCGUGGCACUGAAUAGAUUGUGCACUGUAAUGCUAGGUUUGGGCACAGCAGUGUUCAGAAAUGAGCACUCUGGUAUGUAAUACCAUGUGGAAAGAGAAAUAGGGGAGUUGUUUUUUGUUGGUUUCUUUUGUUUGUUUUUGUUAUGAAAACAACUGGAGGUUUGCCUUGAAGGUAGAAAAGCCUCUACAAGGCAAGAUGAAUGGGAGAAGAGCCCUUUGCCUUCCCUGCUCUGUCAGCCUCUCUAUGGGCUGGGUGCCUCCUGCUUUCUGAGGGGCAGAAAUAAAGCAGGAAAGGUAAAGCUUGCAUCGCUGGCUGGAGCAGGAGGGGCAGCCUGGGGGAGCUCAGACUUCCUUCCUCACACCAGGGUGCUUUUUCUGCACUGGGGAAUGUUUUUCCCACUUGUGCAGCUGGCCUGAAUGUACUGGUUUGAGGCUUUGUGCAGUUGUCUGUGUGCUGGGGAAUUGCACAACCUUUUAGGAAUUACAGCCCCAAAUGUGUGCAGGUAUUGCUGAUGCCAGCUGUGUUUUCACUGUGGGCAUGGUCACAAUGCUCAGGGGAUUUCAAUGUUUGUAAUUUCCAAACACUGUUUUGAAAUAAAUGAAUGUUCACAAACGACACAGUGAAUAUCAGAUGUGGUGUAACUGUGUCUGUAGCAGUGGAUCUCAAAGCGCUUAAUGAACGAACUGUCACAGCUGUAAUAUGGGGAGAAAUGUUCCAUUUCUUCAGGAGCAGAGCUGUGAGUGUGGAAUUGAAGCAGCAAAGAAAAAUUCCCCCGCAGGCUCUGCUGAAAUGUAUUCAGCCCUCCAUGUGCUGUGCUUACUGAUACUUUUUGCUACAGGGUUGCAGUUUGUUACCAACAAGUUGGGAAGCUUUAAAGCCAGGUAGCAAAUACUUGCUAAUUAGAGCUAAUGGAUAGCUUGUUGCAGCUGUAAUCUUUUGAUUUGCUUUAGUGGCUUUGAAGGAAAUCCAGAUCUUGAAGCUGCUUUUUGUGUGGCUAAACUGCUGGAAAAUUGGUCAUCUCCUGGAAGGGAAUGCUUGAGCUGCUUUCUCUCCUCUCUGUAAAUCAGUGAUUAUAUAUAAUUUUUUUUACUUAGAGCUCCCUUCUUGGAAGGAGCUCAUAAAUGAAGUGCAGCAUAGGAGCCUCUGUAAAAGUGCAGACUUGAGCUGCGUUGUGUGGUGUUGGAGAACCCUGCUGUGUUUUUCCUGCACCCGUCUUAGUGAGAAGCAACAAAUUAGCUGCAGUUCAGUUAUCCUGCAACAUCUCUGGAAGUAACUGGAAAUCAUCUAAUUGCUGGGCCAAAAAAUAAUAAAAAGCAUGUAUGUGUGACUCUCAUGGAGGAAAACAGCUAAAGAUUGGAAGACUAUUGUAGUCUUAUCUCAGUGGGGAAAAAAUUAAGGGUUUAUUUGGCUCAAGUUAUUCCCUUUGUCUGCCUAGCUGUGUCUGAUGAGAAUCAAUAAUGACUGUCUUGGUGCAGAACUGGCGCGUGAUGAAAUUCUCUCCAUCCCUCCUUGGGCGCCCGCUUGCAUUGCUGGGAUGGCUGCUGUGUGCGUAGCAGCGCCGAUGAAAGCCAUUGGCUUUGACAAAACCCUGGAAUGUGUCACUGACAUGGGCAUUUUAGAAACUGUAAUCAGUGUCUUUGGGUUUUGAGCAACACAGCAGAGCCCAGGCUUGCUGGACAGCUGUUGUUUGCCUGCACGGCCAUGCUGUGCUGUUGGUGUGCUGGUGCUCCUGCUCUGCCCGCAGCCUCGUGCCAACAGAGCUUUGCUUUUGCUGCCAGGGAUUACUCUCAGGCCAUCUUUUUCUGUGACAAUUAGAAAGAUUUCAGUUUUCUAUGGGGUACAUAAAGGGCUGUGUUUUCAGAAGCAUUUGUGUAGCUCUGCUUUAGGUUGGUGCUGUGACAGUGUGCUUUUUUGCUAAAAUUAGAACUCUGUCCUCUUUUGUGGUGCCCUCUGAAUAGUGGGUACUCUUGCGCUUCAAAAUCAGCCUGAAAGUGGCAGUGGUCACAUAGGUGUUUAUAGAGUGAGCUGUUUAACGUGUGUUACUGACUUAAUGUGCUCAGGUUGUAAACGCAGGGAAGGAAGGACAGAGAAUCAGCUAAUAUCCUGGUAUGCUGCUGGCUUUUCCUUUCAGUGCACAUACUCAGGGCAGCUGCUCACUGUGUUGAUCCACUUUGUUCAAACACAUUGGCAGUGCCCCCCAUAAGUUGUGGGGCUGGUGGAUAACUUCAGAUUGUAAGUGCUUAAACAACCACCCUUUAAUACUGGAAAAAUCCAGAGUGGUUCUCGAAAGGAAACGUGUGAGAGCUCUGGAUGGAAAUGGUUGGUGUCUGUUUCUGGAAAGAACUGUGUGGAGCUGUAAGCAGCUUCUUCCCAUCAGGGUGCCUGCUGGGAGGAGGACGUGCAUUGGUGCAAGGGAACCUGGUGUGUACCCUGCUAUGUGCCUGCUUGUUUGCUAGAGAGACAAGUUGGGAAUUUAAAGAGCAAGUGUUGCUGUCAGUAAAAGCAGAUGUGCUGCUUCCAGCUCAGUCCUGCAGAGACAACCCUGCCUGUUUACCACUAAGGAAAUGGGGAGUCCCAUGGGAUGCCAGUGGAAGGACUUGGAAACCUCCCACAGCUCUCUCCUGGAUCGGGGCUGACGCCUUCAUCUCUUUUUACCUUCCACUAAUAUCUUGUGAGCCAAAACAAAAAGAACAGUGCAUGAAAACUGUGUGGCAGCACUUCUACUUGACUUCUUAUUCACAGAGUCCUGGAGCAAUUCCUAGAUUUUCUGGUGAGCUGUUGAAAUGACUCCGGUUUCCCUGCUGCUAAUACGAACCUUGUUAGUGAGACAAAGCGAGAAGCGCCAAUCUGCGUUACCCUGAGCCGGGGUGAAGCAGUGUUGUGCUGUGCCCUGCUUGCUCGGCCUCCUGGCACGUGUGUGUGUUGUGCUGCAGCUUGCCUCUGCCCCUUCCAGCUGGGCAGGGUCAGGAGGGCUCUGUCCUGCUCGUGGCACUGCCUGAGGAGCUGCUGCACUUGCAUGAUAUUUGGUUUAUUUGUAAAACAAACAAACAAAAAACCCAUGUCAAUUGGCUAUGUAUUCCAUUUAUCCUGCAGAGAGGAGUAAGUUGUGCUACAGUAUUAUGUCCUAUAAAUGAGCUGACAUCACUUUUUUGUUCCCUUCAGUGAGCGGCACCCUCUCUUUGGAGAGGAUGGGUGACUGCCACGUCCUGGUGAAGGCUGGUGCUGGCCACUGCUGAAAGCUUCUGGGCAUUUUGAAAAUAGAAUUAAGACCUUAAGAAAUGGUGCAGUUUGUUGGCAGGAAGCACCAUGACGUACGUUAUUUUCUGUGAGCGCCUUACCUCAUUCCUGCUGCAGACUCCAGUCGGUGAGCAGUGAACCCUAAUGAACAUGAGCUUUCUCCAGUUCCUUGCUUGCAGGGUUGCAUGCUGUAACUGUAGAGACAGAGAUGUCUGACAGCUGCUCCAGGAGCAAAACACUGACUUGGUCAUUGGGCAUUAAAUUCAAAACAGUUGUUGCACAGAAAUACUGCUUUGUUUAGGCACUGCUCUGAGUCAGUGGACUGACAGUGAACUUUUAGAGCUAAGUAGGAGCAAUUGAUGUUAAUUUGCAGGAGAGAAAAUAGAUCUUCAGCAACUCUUGGUUUCUUUUUUUUGUUUUUUUUUUGUUGGUGUUUUGGGGUGGUAUCUUUGUGGAAGCAUCACAUUCUGGAGAAUGAAGCAGGAGCAUUAAUAUUUAAGGAGCUUCGCUAGCUUUUUUUCAACUGGGCUGUUUAUAAAAGGCAUCGUACAGUACAAAAAUGUGUUUUUGGAAGCAAAGGGGGAUGAACUGAUGCAGAAGAGCACAGCAGUUAUCUGGACUGCAGUGAGCUGAUGCCAGCUGUGCUGAUGGAGAUGGGGGACAGCUCACAGUGCAAGGAGCCUGUGGUCCAUGCAGCUGAGUGGGCAUUGGAGCCUUUACCUCCAGAAGGAGAACAGAGGGCUGGACUUAUUGAAGUAACUUGUCUGUCACUGCAAGUUGAACGUGAUGCUGUCAUUUCCUUGCCCAGCUAUUGUGUAGGAGAAUUUCCUGUGCAGCUAAAGGGGGCUUAGACUUCAAAUAUAUUUUUUCCAAUUGCAGUAUUUUUGCAGCAGGAUAUUAUGGCAGAGGCUUAGUGAAGGAGGCUUGCCAUGUGUGCGACUCUCAGACUCGUAUUUGGAGGUCUGAGGUGGAAUGCACUAAAAUGCAUGUCGUAGCAAGGAUUCUUUGUCUCCCCCUUGCCCUUUGAACAUGCUGAUGGCUGAGGAAAUGACAGUCUGACUUGUCUGUAAGGUCAGUGGCUUCCAAGCGCUUUCUGUUAAACCUCUGUUUCUAAUAUUUUCUGAGGUUCUUGAAUUUGGUCCAAUGCUCGUUUCCUAGUUUGUCAGGAAAUUGUUUUGCUGCUUUAUUGAAUGAACUGCAAAAUAAUCCUAGGGAAGGGAAAAAGUCUUAAGGAGAUUCUCAGCGGUGCUUUAGCUGCUGGUGCCAGGUAGGACUGUACAGAUCAAAGGUAUCCGUCUGGCUUUUUUAUCCUUAUUGCUUUCAGCAAUGAUAUUAAAUUGAUUCUUGGGCAACUGGGAAAUGCUAGGCUGAAGUAAAUCAAUAGAUGCACAGCAGUCUCCCUCCACGGUACCAGCAGGACCCCGGCUGAUCAAGGGGCAGCUUUAGGAUCCAUCAAACUCAACGAGUGCAACAGAGGAGAAACUGCUGUGAAGUUCUUCUUCCUCACAUACUUGGUAGAAAGUUCAUGAGUUGAGUUGAUGAUGUUGUGCUUAAGCUUUCUGGUCGGCUUGUUUGGGUGUUGGGUUAUGGCUGGCUGGAUCAUCCACUUGUUGGCCUUCUGAGACGUGUGUUUGUCUGGACACAAGCCUGGCCUUCCACCUCUAUGGCAAAGAAUGACAAACAGCCCGUGAGGAAUUUCACAUUUCACAUCAGCAUUAAUGACUUUAAUGUACACUAUUACGAAAACAAUCUCUCUUAGUUAUCCUGUCCUUUCGUGGGUCAUGCUUGGUAUUUACUUUAUUAUGUGUUCUCUGAUAGUGUCCCACCCUCUUGCUGCAUAACUUGUUUUCCUGGAGGCUGGACGUGCCUCUUGUUGAAAACAUUGCCAAGCAAGAACUAAAUAGCUGGCUUGAAUUAACUGCUAGAAAAUGUUUCUGCUCAAUCUGUGUAGGAGGAUAGAAAGGGAGAGGCUGUAUCCUGACUGUGGAAUAAUGCAGAAAUCAGAAGAUAAGUAACUUCCAGUAAGCAGUAAACUUUUUCACUAAGUUCUUAUUAAAGAAUGUGAAAAAAUGACAAAAUAAUGGUGCACUUUGAGUAGUGACCUCCUUCUCAGCACUGGCCGGGCUUCUGCUGUGCCUGCCAAAGCCAAGCUUCAUAUAAUAGAUGCUUUCUUAAAAUAAAGCUGUAUUGAAAACCAGCGAGAGGCUUUAGUGAUACUAAACCCCCACCCAGAUAUUAAGUGCUCAAAGGGGUUUUUGUAUUGUCACUUUUUUUUUUUCCACUGAUGUGAUAAAACUGCUGAUGUGACUGGAGAAAUUGGGGAAUGGCUCGAAACUUGGUGAGUUCCAGGAAGAGCCACGGCUUGGGCAUGUGGUGGCAGUGGUGGUGGCACAAACAAGUGCUGCAGGGCGCUGUCUGUCCCUCCCUGCACCCUGGUUAAAUUAUGUCCAUUCCUGGAACGUUGCCACAAUCCCAACGUGUGCACGGUAGGCUUUGCAUGUUGGCAUUGCUCUAGGUAACAGCUCGCUCCAGGCUUAUCUCUAUCCCCUCUAAGCAGGGAAGUGUCAGACCUUAAUUCCCUCCGGGCUGUGUCAUUGAACCGCAGCAUCUCGUUUUAUCCCCUUAUACAGAGACUUAAGGAAGAUGCAGCAGUUGAGUGCUGUGGUGGUGCUGGGCCUGGGCAGCUCCUGGGAGAUCUGCUCUGACCGCCAGCUCAUUGACCUGGGAGUCCUGGCUGCUACCAGCCACUGUGUAGUGGCACUUCUCCUGUGCAGUCCUCCUCGUGCCCGGUCCCCUGGCACCUGCUGGCUGGGACCUAGCUGUGCUGCUGUGACAUUGCACCCUUCUGUCAGCCUGGGUGUCGCGAAUUUUAAUUCAACCUCCGAGGAAUGUUGGAGGAAUUUUGAAAUAUUUGUUCCACAGCCCAGGAGUUGUCUGGGGAGAAGGCAGGCUUGGUCACCCUCCAGCAGCGAGGAGAGCAGCAGCCCCUGCAGCUCUGCUGCCCAGCUGUGACUGCCUAUGAAAAGCAAGCUGUGUUGCAGGAGGGAGCUGGGCUGCUCUGGGUCCAGAGUGUGGCUAGAGAACAGGGCUUCCUUCCCCUUCUGGGUGUGAUGGCUUGGGUAUCUGGCUCCUAUGGAUCUGUUGCUGUUAGCGUUUCUAUUCAGAAUGAACGCCCCAGACUUUUUUGCUUGGCCUCUUUAACUGGGAAAGAAGUGCGUAUAUCACAUUCUUUUUGAAUUUUGAGAAUCCAGAGUAUUAUGUUGAGAGCUGUACAGUUGAAUCCUGUAGUGUAGAGAAGCUGUUGUGACUCUCAUAUUCCUUUCUUCCUGCUACAGAAAACAGUAUGCUAACUGAACACAAAAAUGUUCUCAGACUGAGCAGCUAGAUUGGCACAGAUAAAAAUGGUAAUUAUAAGAAGGCCCUACCUGUUGAAGAUCUGGCACGGUGCAAAUUCCAGCUUGCUUAGCAAAGGGCAUUGCAGUGGGAGAGGCUUUAAAGAUCAAGUCUGGUUCCAGGUGCAAGAUUUACCUCCUGGGCUUUGUCUGAUCUGCCAAACAGUUACCAGCAGUGGAUUUCCUUCCUGACUUGCCCUCUCUGGCUGUGUGUGGGUAUGGGAUGGUGCUGGCAGGCAGCUGUCCCAGUGUGGAAGGAAGCACUCCUCUUGGAAAGCUUCGUGUGGCAUUGGUGCGAGGCUGCUGUGCUGUCCUGGCCCUUGGCUCUUUUUUGGUGUUAUCAGGAAGCUGCAUGAGAAAAGGAGGACUGAUAUCUCCAGAGGCAGUGUCCAAAACCCAAGGGAAGGAGAUGAGAGGCACACACAAAUGUCACAGUUAAACACUUAAUAGGAUUUAGGGAGGUUUCUUUUUUUUUUCAGAUGUAUUCUGUUAAUUUUUCUAUGGUCUCUACAGAGCUGUGCCAUUCUUAGUGAAGCUAAAACCAAUUAGGGCAGAAGUUCUGAUUUAGACUUUGAGUUUUCAAGUUUAAACUAAGUUACAGAUAGCUUUCAAGGUCAAUAUGUGGUUGCAUGCUAUGAAAUUUAAUUGAUAUUUUCUUCCCUAAAGCAUCGACAUAUUAGCAGGCGGCUCAUCACUUGCAUAGAAUUCCCUUGGACAUCAUUAGAUUUAACCUGGGAUGCUUUAUCUCUGAAGGACUCUUAUUCACAUUUGAAAUGCUCUUUUUCCAGAAACAGGUGAUAAAUUCUGCUUAGCAUUCCCAAAGUAAAGUAUGCAGAAUGAGAAACAGAGGAGGAAGAGGGAUUUAAGUGUGGGAGCACACCUGUGUAAUAAUGAACAGAAAUGUUCUAAAAGAAGAAAGAUGGGUGAGCUGAAAAUAAACCUUUUAAGUGAAAAACAAAGCAGAGCAUUUAAAUGCACAAAUAUUGCCAAGUUAGAAGUAGUUUUAUUUAAAGUAUCUGCCUUUAAAAUAGGUGUUGUCAUUCUUGUGUUUUAUAAAUGGGUAAACUGCUGGGACUUGUCUGCCCCUUGUCCAGCUCUGAGAGCAUUCCCAAAUGCAAGGAGAACAAGGAGUGCUUGUCCUAGGAGGAGUGUGUUUGGGGGGAUCGCUCAACCACGUAAAUGCAGUAUGCAAGAAGUGAGUGCUCGUGGUCUUCAGGGGUUUGGACUCCUUUCAAGUUGAGAACUGAGCAUCUAAGCAAGGCAUUCUGGAUUAUUAAUCACCUUAUAUUCAAGUCCAAGUUUUUUCAUAGCUAAUGAGAUUUUUCCAGAGUGGACAGUACCUGAGCAGUGCAUUUAGUAUAAUAACAUACAGUAACAGAAAAAUUAUCAGUGAGCCAAAUGUUAUGUGAUUCCUAUGCUGGACUCUGUCCUAUUUAUUCUUGGCAAGAGCUGGCGCACCAUAAGGGAGCGGUGACGCUUCCAGAGAUCUGUGGCACGUGACGUGUUUUUCUGCACCGAAGCACGAGGCGACGUGCCAUGAGAUGUCAGCUUCCCGUUUCAUAAGCGAGGCUGUGCCGGCCAAGGGUGCCGGCAGUGCUGGGAGGCGGGCAGGUGGAGCUGCUCUCAGGAGCAUCCUGAGCCCCCCAGCCCCCACACGGCCGGGUUCUGCCUCUGAUCGGAGCUCUGGCAUUUACGUCAGGAGUCGGGUGAGCAGCACCCAGGCCUGAGAGCAGCCAGAAACAGCAGAGGCUUUUUAUUUUCUUGCGUAGUCAAGCGAAAGGAACAAUCUCUCUUUUAUGUUGGUAGCCAGGAUUAAAUUAUUCUUGGACUCAUUAUUAAAUGAAGCAUAUGAUUAAAUGUUGAAACGAAGAGUAUUAUCUUUCAUAUCUUCCUUGGAAUGAGGGGGGAAAAACAUAUGGAUGAGUCAGUUCCUGUAUCCAAAACAGUGGGGGAGAAGGGAGCUGUGCUCAGACGCAGAAUCCCGGGUCUGGUUCCCUGCAUGCAGGAGGUGCGUGGCACAGAGCAGUGCUGUGCCUGGAAUGGAACAUCGUGGUGCUCCAGGAGCCCGUGCUGUCCCCAGGGGGCUGGUUCCCUGCAGGUGCUGAGAAGCUGAACCCCCCAAGGACCCAAUUUCCAAUCACUGAGUUAAAUAUGUACGUUGUGAAGCAUGCUUCAAGCCUACCCAUGGGUGGCUAAAUACAGAAAUGUUUCCCUGCUGCGGCAGCUUGCUGAGAUCCCAGUGAGGUCUGUGCUGUGCUGCAUGGGACUGCCUUGAGAGCUGCGUCUCAAAGGUCUGCAGAGCAAAGGUGGCUGACCAGAAAGGAAAAAAAGAUCCAAGAGAGAAUGUUCACUUUGUGCUGUGGGUGGCAGUUUGCUAAAGCAGUCUCAAAAGCUUUGAGGGAAUUUGUUGUGAAGAACUUGAAUAAUAAACUUCCAGCAUUCUUGUUUUCUGGUGGUAGUGAGUGUACUUCUUCACUUGCAAUCUGUAGUAAGGAAAGUAAAUUGGUGGAAGUGCACACAAGUUAGGGAUGGAGUGUUUUGAGAGCAUUAAGGCUACCAUAAGAAAUAAGAUCCUGGGUGACAAGGGCACUUACUCUGGGCUUCCCAGUGGUUAGUCCAUAAGAGAGGUGGGCUCAGGAACACAGGCUGACAAUGAAAAAAGGCUGCUUCUGGCUGCAAAGUGAUGCUUUGGCAAUUAGUGUGCUAGCCAAGUGGCUAAUUUAUGAGACAGUGGUUACCCAGCAAACAAAAGGCAGGGAGGAAUGUAUUGGGUGGCCAGCUGUGCUCUGCUGCCAGUGCUUCCUGGAGGCAGUGGGCUCUGUUCUGCAAAGUUCCUGUAUUUGUUGCUGAGAUAAAGUUGUUAAAGCAGAAUAACCUUUUUCCCUCUAUGAAAGUAGAACUUUUCAAUUGAUUUCCUGGACAUGUUCAUAGUGCUGGAGUAGUUUGCCCUAUGCAGUUACCGGCUUUCUUUACAUGUUCAAGAGCUAAGAAUUUGAGAAGGCAGAGGAAAUCUGCAAAUCAGAAAUAAAAGGGAAAAAGGCAGCCCUCAUCUUGCUGCUCUGUGCUGCCAAGCAGCCCUGUCGCAGACCUGUGCUGCUGUCAGGUGUUUGGCUCCUGACUCAUAGUGCUUGGGGUCUGAGCAGAGAGUGGGAAACUCAGUCUUGUUCCUGAAAGUCGGAGAAGCCAAGGUCUCCUGAAUCCAUAACAAAGCUCAUAGCCCAAAAGUUUGCUGCUUAGGAGCAUCCUCAGCAUUUCUUUGUGCUGAUCCCAGAGGUGUGAGUGGGGCUGUGCAGCAGAAGCUGCUGUGGAGCUGACAGCUCACCUCCUGUCACUUCUCCUUUGCUCUCCACUGCCUUUCUGCAGCCUCCGUACCCGUGCUCCUCCCGGAGGCUGUUAGCAGGAGCUCCUUGAGCCAUCACUGGGAUGAUGUCAGGAAUGACUGAGACUCAAUUGCAAGGAGUGCAUGAGUUGGUGUGUGCAUUGCAAGGCUUCGUUUUGUAGCUCUGCUGUAUUGAAACACACGGCUGCUUUUGCACAGUGCAUGCAUUGCUGUUGUCUGCCUGGUAAACCUUCUCAUACAGCUAUUAAAAGUAUUUGCUUUAUUGCUGCAUCGGCAGUGCUAUUAAUAGUCUAACUUGGUAGGAAUGAGUGGAAGUUGGUGCAUGAGUACAGGCCCUACACAGGCUCCAUUUUGUUAUUUUUAUUAGUGACAGAUGUAUUUUGUUGGCAUGCUGUCCCACACAGCUGAAUUGCAUUGAGCUACUCAUGCUCUUGGAACUGUGCUUUUAAAAUAAUAAAAAAAAAAAGUUCAGACUAGAGCUGAGCUUUAGGUUGAGCCUGCUGGGUUGUUUGUGUAAUUACUUAGGAGUUUAUCGCAGACUUGCUGAACAGUGUUUAUAAAUCAGAUUUCAAUAAAGUUUGCAGUGUCAAUAAACCUGGGGAAUGACUUGGCAGUCGGCUCUUGAACCACUCAUGGGCAAAGUACAGUGACAGCAAUAUCACAGAGCCGUGGGUGCUGGUGUGCCCGGCUCCCUGGCAGCCUGCAGCCUGGGGCCAUCCCCUGCCAUCUUGGUUCACAUCUUCAAACGAGCCUGCCCGCUGUGUGCUGAUAGCAUUGAUUCCAAAUUGGCAACUAAUGAAGCGGAUCAAAUACACUGGGGAUGCGGCAGUUCUUCCAGAAAUUAAAGCUUUUAUUGUGGAAGUGUGGAAAUGGGAGACUAUUAAUUUCGUUCUCUUGACAGUUGUUAUUAAAUCCGGCUUAGUUCACGUGGUAUUGGUUCUUUUUAAUUCUGAUAUUUCAGCGCACUGGAGAGCGGUGUGAGAAAGCUCAGUCGCUGCAGAAGUCGCUGACAGAUCGGACUGCUUUGUAAUGGGAGGAGCUGGGGUUGUUUCUGAUAUUGCAGUGUCCAAGCAGAACGGCCUUGCUUGCAUGCUAACGCUAUUACUAAGGGGAAAACGGUGUGAAAAGGAAAUCUCUUAUCCAAGUCGACAUGGGGGAUUUCCUAAGCACGUGUAAGUGUGAGUAAGGAAGCUGUGAAGGGGAGGGCUGGCCGAUGGGAUCCUUCAGCUCCUGGUGCUGUUCAGAGGAGGCCUCCCAAGAUGCUCACGGCAAAAAGUGUGAUGGGUUUUAUUUCAAACCUAUGCAUCAUUUAACUUCAUUGCUCAAGUGAAAAUCCACCCAGUGCUAAAUCAACCUAAACUCAUUUUUUUUUUUUCCUGUUUCUGCAUUGCUGGUUUGAUCCCUAGAUAUAGAAGAUCAGCAGAAAUCCCCCACCAUUUAAAAGGAUUAGAACUAGCUGGUGAGGUUUUGGCAGUGGAAUUAACUUGUGGGAGCUAUUCUGCAGCACUAAUGCCCGGGUCAGGCACGUGGAUGGGCUGCGUGUGUCUGCAUUGAGCAGAAAGCGAGAUGCAGUUCUUCAGUGUCUGCAGCCUUGCUGCUGGAUGUAUGGCUGCCCCUUUUUUUCCAACCCUAAUUCCCAUCUGUUUGCUGCUCAGCCCUCCGUGUGGAACCUGCUUAUCUCACGAUUGUGGUUAAUGACUUCCCCAAGCAUGGUUGUCUACAUUCGCCUUUCUUCCGGCACCCACAUACAAGCUGGAAGGCAGAGGGGUCUGGCAGGCCUUGUGACAGCAGCUUUCUGCUUAGCUGCAUUGCCUGCCACUGCUAUCGUGUUUGCAAAACUUUCCUGCAUUUCUUGGAGUGAUAACAGGGUGCUUAUCUAAGUGGUGUAGUAAUGUGGGAGGUAAGGGUUUACCUGGCCAAGGUGAGGAUGGCUUCUGCUCACAGGGGAAGUGGAGGUGCUGGGUGCAGGGAGAAGAAUGCCCAGUGCUGCUUUGCUCUUCUCCGGCUGCAGAAGGGAGGACCAAAGUCCUGCUGCCAAAACUGGAGGAAUCAGACUAGUUUCUUCAUCUCUGCAAGCACGCUGGGGAAGCCAGCGGAACUUUACCUGGGUGCUCCUUAUCCUUUUAUGUUUGAGCCUUAAAUUGUUUUGUUAGAAAUGGAAAUGAGCCUUCUGGUUUUGAUAUAUUUCCUGUAAUGUUAUCUUUUUGUUCUCAGUUAGCACUCACUGUGACUUUUUUGGUACCUUUGGUGGGCCUGACCGUUCUGUUGUGUUAAUCCCAGCUAUUUUUGACACCAGUAUUAAGUGAGGAUGUUUAAGGAGAGCAUCAGUCAAAUUGCCUUCAGGCAACCUUUGUCCUCCUGUGACUGACCGACUCUAAUCUUUGCUCCAAGGAGCCCUGUGGCCAUUGCGGUAGGUGAUGGCCGUGUUUGUCCUGCAGCAGCUUUAUCUGUAGUGUUUGUGCUGUGAGGCAGUGAGGCUGCUGCUGACAAGUUCUUUGCAAUACCAGGCAAAGCACUGUUGGUGAUAUUCCUUCCAAGGAGGCCGCCUUCAGCCAGGAGAUGUUCUCCUGUUGGAGGACUUUAAUGAGCCCAGGUGAGGGGAGGGGGGUGGACCCUGGAUCCACCCUGUGGUCACGUGGGAAGCACAGGUGAAUUGCUUGCACUUGUGCUUCCUGGGCUCCUCCCUCCCUACUCCUUCACCAGGUGCUUAGUCAUCAGUUCAGGCUGUGACAUAACAGUUUCCUACAGCUAGAUAUUACAGAUACCAGACCUGGGCAAAAAGCAAGCAACUUGCCUGAGGUCGGAUAAGCCACGUGUGACAGUUACUGGUGUCUCUGUGUUCUUUGCUUGCCAGGCUGCUCAGAAUUUCUCAGAAGCUGUUUGCUUUUUUUUUUCCUACCUUUUUACAGCACAUAGCAGUGUGAUUUUGAUUUAAGCCUUGAGCCUUUGAUUUAAGCAUGCGGGAGCUGCUGCAACGCGGUAAUUGUGAGCCCUUGGAGUCUCUCUGCAUGUAACGAUCAUCAUUCGGACAGAAGUAGUGAAAGGAUUGCAAAUACUCUUAAUUCCCGUUCUCGUGCUGUCUGCUGGCUUGUUAAUAAAUUCUCAAAGCUUAUAUGAUUAAAAACUUGAGAACCUGGUGUGCUGUGUGCUCUAAUUACAUGUGGUGGAAACUCAAAGCUCCCUUUGAAGCGCUGUGAAAAUUGGAAGAUGGCUUUGGGGAUUGGGUCCUGGCAGCAGAGGAGGAGUGUUGUCACCCUGUCACAUCAGAUGGGCUCUGAUACAGGGGCAGGACACGGUUGUUCUCUACUCCUGAUUUAUUGCAAGGAGCAAACAUAAGUUGAGGUUGGCGCACAAGCUCCUGGCUGUGAAGAGCUGUGCUGAGCACAUCUGAUAAACUGUGGCUUCUCGGGCAUUAAACAAGGCUCAGUAACACUGGCUGUGUUGUUUCCAUAUACCUGCAGCCUGGGGAAAGGCUCUGCUUUCAGGAUCAGUUUGUUUCAGAUCCCAAAGGACAGCAGCUGUGGCAGGAGGGUGGCUCUGGGUGCACGAGCACAGGUCUCCCUUGGAGCACGGCAAGCUGUGCUGAAGGGAGGAACGUGAGAGUCAGGCUUGUGCUUUGCCCUGCCCUGGGUCCCAGGGAACCAGAAGAGUACCUUGCACUGCUGGAAGCUUGCUUUUAUUAAAGAGUAAUCAGUGGUAGAUAUGCGAGCAUAAUUUACUGGGUAUCAGAAUGUGUCUUUAAACACAGCACUGAAUUAAAAAAGAAAAACUGCUUUGCAUGGUUUUAUUGUUUCUUUAUGAAAUACAGCUGUUGAAUUUGUGUUUUCCCUUGUUAGAUUCACUGUCCCCCAGCCAUUCAUCAUUACAGCUCUUCAGAGUCAUGAUUGCUCCCCAGCUCUAGUAUUAAAAACUCAUAAGAAGAGUCUGGUUGGGAUUUUGCAAGCACGUGUGGUAUCUCAGCAUCACAGCUCUCAUUAAUUUUUGUGACAUUCAGGGUUCAGAUCCCACAGACAGCCUUUUGGAAAGAUUUUGUUUCCACGAAUGAAAAAGCAGUGAGGGAUUUUUAUGCCUCUAAACCUUUUUUUUUUUUUUUUUAAGUAAAUAGCAGCAAGCAAUUGUGUCAUUCUGUUAGGCCACUUGUGGAAGCUCUCCUCCUGCAUAGAAGGCAAUGUGUGUUGGGGUUGGGAGCAUGCGGAGUGCUGGAAUUAAAGCUGCAUCUCUGUAGGUACAUAUUUAGAACUCAAAUAUUACUGCAAGUUGAAACAACUUUGGCUGCGUGUGCAAAUUACUUGGCAAAAGUGUUGAUUUCCUUGUUAAACGUUGUAGCAGAAAGGGCCUUUGAUCCCAACAGGCUGUUGGGAGCCCUUCCUAAUUGUUAUCAAACUAUCCUGUAGCUUUAAGCAGAUAAGGCUUAAUUAGCUAAAGUGGUGUUGUGUUUUUUCAAAACGGAGUGCCCUGCCGAUGCUGGGCACCUGUGUUUGUGCUCUGCCAGCACAGAUCGCUGCCCUGUGCGGUGGUGGGGGGACGUGCGAGCCCUCCUUGCCCGUAGGUAGCAGGCAGCAUUCUCAGCUCUCGUCCUCACAACGUGCACUGGUGCUAAUGGGAAAGUUUUUGUUUUGCAAUCUUUGUGCUGUGAAAAAGAAGGAAAAUAGGAAAAAUCACAUUGGUGUAGAGUAAGGUCUGACUUCCUUGCCUUGACACCAAAUCGUCUCCCCAUUAAAAGGCACGGUUGACUGAGUCUCCUUUGCUACUUUUACCUGAGGCCAUUAGUGAGGCCUCCACAGAGGAGGAGGAAGGAGAAAGAGAGCUUGGAAACGCAAUAUUCUUCUGUCUCCUUCACCCAUCUGCUUCCAAUGGGAAAACUGAAGCAUUAAGGAUUUGAUUCAACACCUGUUAGGUUACUCAAGGAAACACAAAGACUUUACCAGAUGUUUAAGAAGAAACAUAUGGCAGGCGGGGAAGGAGAGCCUCUGCCAAUUUGUCUGUUUAAUCAAUCAAACUUGUAACAAUCGAUGCUAUUGUCCAUGCCCUUGAUAAAUAAUUGCUCCUGUGCAAUACUGCUGGAUGCAGUGCAGAACUUCACUAAUUGCCCCUCACAGUGGGCAAAACAGAGGAGGUAAGAGGUCCUGCUUUCUUCCCUUGCUGAUGGUACAGAGCUGUUGGAUUUUUUUCCUUCCAUUUUUAAGCCCCAAACAAAAAAAUUCUGGUAAUAGAUGAAAGCAGAACUCAUAACCACCUGCAUGGAUUUUUAGAGGCCACUUGAAAUUAAGUUUUGGUGGGUAUCAGGGAAGGUAAAGAGAAUAGGAUUUUGUUUCUUACGGUACUUUAUGAAGGUGGACUCACUGAAGUCAGAAACUUGGGUUCCUUGCUGCUUUUUAUGUAAAAAAACGGACAGUAACAAUGCUGGGGUUGCUGUCACCACAGCCUCCCAUCCUCUGCAGUUGUCUUACAAAUAUUGUUCCUGUAACUCCAGAGCAACACCUGCAGCAGUGUGGUAUGGGAGGAAGAACGGUGCUUUUAGGUGGUUUCCUGAAGAAAUGCUCAACUCUGAUCCCUCUCAAAGCUGUUUUUUGGCCAAGCACCAUCGGGGAUCCAACCCCGAGCGUUGCACCUGCGUCCUUCGGGCUUCAGCCACCAGCAAAUGAGCAAGUCAUACAGGCAUGGAGCACGUCAGGAUAAGCAGGUUGUCAUUAGAGGCAGGGCACAGUUCAGCUCCUGACGCUGUUGCACAGUAGUGUGCCUUCUGUCGCAUCGUAAUGAUUAAUCACAGCCUUGCACCCAGUGUUACCGGGCAGCACGCGUUUGCUUAACAGUCAGUAACUGCUAUACAGACUCAGCUGGCUUAAUCCCUGGUGACUGUUUUCUAAUGCUAUCAGUGCUGAACAAUGGGAUAUCAUGACAGCUUGUGAUUGAUGCUUUUUUUCCUCUCCCCCACCUUGUGUCAAAGAAUUGGGGUUUUCCCUGUGUCAGAUGCUGACUUAGUUCCCUUUUACUCUCAGCAGUUGAGCGCUGCAUUUGUUGCUGCCAUUAUCUAACAACUUCUAAUUCUUCUCUGUUUUAAGAUUUGCCCAAGUACCAAAUCAGGGUAUUUCCUUUCUGUCAGUUCUCUGCUUGUCGGUUGCUCAGUGGUUAGGCACUGGGGCAAGUGCUGAGGGAGGCUGAAGGCCCUUCUCUCUGAAGCCCCCACUAGCAUCCUCAGGUAACAGUGCUGGAGUCUCUUCUGCAUUAAAAUGAAGGUGGAACCAGGUUUAUUCUGAUAGGAAACAACAGUGGUUGUCACAGUGAGCGCACAGUUUGUAGAAGGGCAGUCAGGGUUUGUCUUCACCUCUGUUAUGUGAACAGGAUAGGAGAGUUUUUCUCCAUAGAUGUGUGAGUGAGUGAUUUGAAAUGCACCCAAAAAGACUAAGGCCUACUUUUCUUAAUUCCUACCUUUUUGCCUGUGUCGUACGAAGCAUUACAGAAAAACCUGGUUAGACCUGGACAGGCGUAGCUUCAGCUGUCGAGCCCUUUGUCAACACGACGGCUAUCGCUAAGUGAAGCAUAUGCUGAUCCUGGUCUAAAUAUGUUUUUCUUCCCUUGUCUGACACUGUGUUAAUUAAAACAUCCUUUUAUUGGAGGAACUGCUGGUGGCGAGCAUCCCACCGGGCCUCUCCUUGCCAACCUCCCUUGUUAUAGUCUUGAAUUUCUUUGGAAAAGCCAAUUCUCCCAUUUUUAAUAUUUCCAGACACCUCUUUUCUUGCUACUCUGUUCCUUAUGACUGCUGGAGUAAUGGCUUUGUUUGCCCUAUGGGCUGAAUUACUGCUCUGCAGACUUUUUACUCGUUCUUUUUUUUUUCUCCAGCCUUUCUGGAUGUCUGAAGUAGGCUUUCCUGCUUUAAUCCAGAUCACUGGGAUUUGCUUAUAUAUCAAAUGCAAAUCUCUUUGCAUCCGUAAUCCUUCCCCAUAAACUGUUGUUGACUUUUCUGUGGGAUUUUUUAUUUUAUGCCCUAUCUCAAUGGGUACAUAUGUUCCGAGGUUUGUGGUUUUGAAAAGUGCAUCCCGAGUGAGUUAUGAGACAGAUCUGUGCUAAUAUGGCUUGACAGCUCACUGCAGUGUUUGGAGGAGGAUUGUGCUGAAAUGCAGCUUCUAUCCUGUCUGAGCUCUUGUAUUUUUUCUGAGAUAGGAGGAGGAAAAGUUUGUCUGCACUCUGAAGACGUUUUUGUUUGCUCACCAGACUGAGAGCCAGCACAUGCGCUGUUCUGGGAUCAUAUGUUCUUCUGUGCUUGUUGAAGAAACAGUGAGGUAUCUGUGGUGCUCGAAGACAUGGUGAGGCUGGGGGCAGUGCUGGGUGAAGCACGGGUCCCUGGGGUUGGAUUCAGCAAGGGCCGGCCCCAUCUGAGCCUCUCGUGAAGGUGUGCUGUGACUUGCUUUCCUUACGUCUGUAUUAAGUUACUGUUAAAGGGAAAAAGAAGGAAAGCUCUUCUAACCCCAAGUAUCACAGAUUCUGGCUUGUUCUCGAAGUAGGCAUAUUAGUAUGGAGCAGGUUUAUCAGCAGUGUAGCAGCGUCGUAUUUGGUAGGAAAGAAAUGAAAGAACAUUUGGUAGGAAGGAAAAAGAAAGAAAACAAGUCAACUUAUUUUCAUCUUAACUAGAAUAUGCCUAAUUAAAAGAAAACAACAAACAAGCAAGGAUCUAGACUGUAACAGCUAAGUGUGCUUUCAUCACAGCACAGUUCUUUCAUGCUGCUGUUUUCUGUCACAAGGCUUGUGCUGAGAAGCAGGUAGUGACUAAUAAGUUGUGAAUACACUUGCGAAUGGUUUGGGGUUAGUGCAAGGUGAAAACAUGAAGCAAUUACCCAAGAUCUAUUACCUGCUGCCUACCUUUUAAGGAGGCCAUUACCGUAUUUAACAGCUAGUUUUCACUGCCACGUUGCUGGACGAUUUCUUCGUGGUGAGGACAGCAGAAGCGCAGCACUGGUGUCAGUGGGCCGUUGUUGCUCAGCGCUGACGCAGAGAUGUGGGCAUCUGUGCAUCUCCCCCCAGCACGGGGCACUCUGUGCAGCUCAGGCGGUGUGAUGGCAGGGAGCCCACCGGGAUCUCUGCUCGGAUGGCAGGGAUUCAUCAGAAAUGGCACAAAAGGCUUUUGCUGGCAGCGUUGUUCAAAGCUAACCCUGAAUGCGAAGAUUUUGCAGCCUAGCGAUGCGCUCGGGGCCAGCCGGCGGUAUUUAUUCCAUCUCCUUGGUGAGGAGCUCGGAUGACGUUGUUGCUAAUUCCUUCUCUGGAAGUGUGGCUCUUCUGCAUAUUUAUCGGUGUGUGUGCGGGAGCAGCUCCGCUCCGCCGGGGCGCUGCAGCGAGCGGGCUGUCAGUUUGAGAGGCAGACAAUUGAAUCACGGCACUAAAACAUGCCACUCCAAAGCUGUUUAAAUCAUCGUAAUGCGAGUUAGGAAUUUAUUACAAUACGCAUUACCUCAGGGGACAGAGAGGGAAGGGAGAUCUGAAGGGGCUGUUUGUAAACAUGUGAAACAAUAAGCGUUUCCUGCGUCGCCGCCGUGACAGGGCUGUCUUGCUGAAAUGCAGCGUGGUACAUACGUGGGGAGCAGCUCACCUGGGGCCGGCUGGCUCUCAGUGCUAGCAAAAUAAAAAUUAUUAAAAAACCUGCUGCCAGAAGACAGACCCAGCAACAAAGCCGGGACGCUGUGCCUGUGGGCUGCGUGGUGCUGGGCUCGGAGCGCUGCCUCCUUACCUUCCCAGCUCCACAGAGGUGGCCAAUGCCUAUUGCCAUCAGCCCGCCUGUGGGUGUCUGUUUCUGCUAUGUGAGCCGCUUGGUGCUCUGUGGAUUUGGUGCUGGUUGGGGUGAGCGUUGUAGGCCUGGUGAGCCCCUCUCGCUGUGCCUCCAGGACGAGGGGAAGCUGAUGCUGAAGGUGUCUGAAUGUGAAACAGUGCAUCUUUCUUCCGGGCUUUGGCUCUCCUCCUGCUGGGUGUGCACACCUUGCAGCCUGGGUAGCAGUGGGCAUGUAAAGCAGAGCAAGUUUUGCUCAGAGAUUUCCUGACCAACAUCGAUAGGGCUUUCGCUGGCCCUGAUUACUUCCCUGUUAAAAGGGACUUUUGAUGCCAGGAGAGCGGCUUUGGCCACGUGCCCUGAUGCUCUGCACCACACAAGUAGCAGAGCCCCUGUCACGGCUCCUGCCCUGAGCACAGGGGCCAGGUCUCUGGCUGUACAGUGUGCUGUUUGCCACGCGGCUGCUGGAGGUGUGUUGUGUCUGUGCUUUGGGCAGCCUGCCUCCAAAUCAAGGGCUGGGAGGCUGCGGACUCCCCAGUGCUACCUGAAGGCUUUCCUCCUCUCCCCUCCUGUCAUGGGUAGCAGCAGCACAAAGCAUCCUGCAGGGUGCUCAACAUCUCCCCAGACAAGGCUCCUGCAGAUAAGCAGUGCUUGUUUUGGGGUUUUCUCCUGCUUUGAGCAGCCGUGCUGAUGCUCAGUGUCUGACAGCUUCAGCCCUGACUUCCCAGAUGCUGGGCAGUGUCCCAUGGAGCCAUUCGGUUCCACAAGCGAGCAGUCAGUCCUCUGUGAGCUACGAGGGCAGACGCUCCCUCAUGAUGCUCUGCUCCUCAGCAUUCUUCUGUGUGGGUGAGGCAGCUUGCAUGGUCUGAGAAUAAGCAUGCUUCGAGAGCUCUGGGAGGGCUGGUGCUGAUGUAAAGUGGAGAACCUCAACCUGGUGCAGGGUGUGCUGCCAGCAUGCUGGCUGUCCUUAAAGGACUUCUGGAUAUACUGCACCACAAGACUGCAGCAAUUUGGCUGCAAGCUAUAUUUAGCCUAUUUAUUCUUUGUUGGUGUAUAAUGUGCAGUUCAGUGGAAAACUUGGUCUCUCCAAAAAGGAGAUUUGAACUGGAGUCAAGACAGGGAAAACACCAUCUGUCUAGAGAACAUUUUUUCUUAAGUGAUUUGAAAGGGAAGGCUGCAUGUGAAAUAGAUGUACACAGCACUUGUUCUGCUGCUUGUGUUUGUUUGUUUGUUUGUUUUUUGUUUAACGUUUUUUGUCAUCGGAGUUCUUCCUUUCUCUAGUUCUGUUAUUGUUACGCUCUUUUGAAAAUAGAGAGAAAUGCACUUUGUAGUUCAGCUUGUUGGAUGAACUCUGUAGGAGUGGCUGUGCUGUGCCAGCACUCUGCACAGCCUCAGGAAUUACCUCUGGGAAGCUCUGCACUCGAGAUGGGCCCCAUCACAUCACAUCCCAGGGAGGACAAGUGCUCAGCAUGCAGCCUUCAUGUUUGUCCCUGCUUUUGCCCAAGCAGGUCUUGCAGUGACCUUAGGGAUGCAAUGUGGGGCUGUGCUGUAGGAGGUCGGAUGCAGGAAGGGCUGUGUGAGCUGGGUGAGGAAAGCUGGGAGGGAUGUGGUGUAUGCUGAGGGGGAAGACUUACGUUCCUGUAGCUUUGUUAUGCUCGUACCAUGCACUGCAGGAUGGUGUGGGUAUCUGAAAGCACCACUGCAAAACAAGUGCACAGAUGAAUUGAGUGCACCAUACAUAGAAUGUAAUCCCACCCAUUCCAUAUGAAUUUCAGCAGGCUGGGCAAAGAGUCUUUACACAGAUAACAUCUUCUUAGAUAAUAUUUUCUUAGUUUCAAUGAUGUUAAAUAUGAAAUAUUGCUUUUUAUGGCCAGGCGCUGUCUUUUUAUUCUGUUUCUUGGGUGUCUGUUCAUCUGUCUCCAUAAUUAUAUUUUACUUCCUGGAAUUAUGCAAUCCAUCACUGUCAGGAAGGGCAGGGUGGCUGAGGGCUGCUCUGAGGCUCAUCAGACAACUGCAAUGCAUUUCUAGCUGUUGAAAUUGUAUGCUUAUUAAAAGUGAGAUGUUUCUUCUCCCUACAACUCUCCAGCUUAAAUACUUUAAAAAAGACAGCUGAUCAAAUGGAAACCUCUGUACACACACUGCUCUGUCCUGCAGCUGCCAUGCUGCCCAAUGGGAGCAGCAGGCAGUGCUGCAGUCCUUCCUCCUGCUCCUACCACGCUGCCCCAUCAGCAGGUGAUACCUGUGCUGUGUGCAACUUGGGCUGCAUUUCACCCGGUGCCACUUCAGCACUGCCAACCUUUGCUGUGACUUUUUUUUUCUCCAUAAAGGAAUCCGAGAGAAAUGGUUCUGUGCUGGUGCUGGUAGCUGCAGCCUGUUAGGCAGAUGGAAUUUCUCUUGGCAGUUUGGAGCCCAGGUGAGCUGGUUUCUGUUGGUUUUGGAGGCGUGGGGGGGUUGUGUCUGCUGCUUCGUUCCAUUGCAGAGCUUCGUUGCUGCCUGCCUUCAUAUCUCCCCCAGCGGUUGGACGAGGAGUGAAUGCAGUUGGUAGAGAAAUUAGACAAUUAAUUCCGCAAGAUGUUUUUAGCGAUACUUCAAGAUGUCAAUUUGAUAGGAAGUACUGGUUAGAGGAGGAAACCAUCUGAUGGCUUCAGAUUGAGCAAUUAACUACUUAACAGCUGGAAAAAAGAUUGCGAGUGAUGCGAUUCUUCACACCAGCAGCUCUUAGCUGUUGUACCACAGUUGUAAAAUGCUUUGAGCAGGAGAUUGGUAUCUUGCUCAUUUUGCAGAUGAGCAAACAGAAGGACGGAGGGGAGCAAAUAGACUCGAGCAGCAGGUCAGCAGCACAGCCAGAAGGAAGAAUCACGGUCGCCUAACUCCCACCCCCUGGAGCACAGGCAAUGAUGUUCCCCCCAGGAUUAUUUCCUCUGCCAGCACUGAUGGGGCCAAGGUUCUCAAAGCUUGUCUGUUUUUUGAACUUUUUUCUUUUAAUGUGUGGAUGUUCUGCGAAUGAGAUCGCUGGGGAGUGCAGGUGUCCAGUGCUUCCCAAGCCCUGGCUGGGCUGCUUGCUGGUCCCUGGGCUGCUGAGCCCCAUGGCACUGUGCUCUGCAGGCACUGCUCCUUGCUCUGCAGUGCUCACUGCACCCCGGCUCUGUUGUUCUAUAGCUGGGUCUAAAAUAUACAUCGUUGCUGGCAUUCCAACCCCUAUCUGCUCCCAGCAUAUGCUGUUGGCGCCGUACCAGCAGAUGCUGUUAAGCGGUAUCAAAUCUUAAAGUGCAGAUAUGUUCUGAAGUGUGACUCUGUGAAAAUGGCACUGUAGGGUUCCUCGCCUGUGCCUUGGUGCCUUCCACGUUGAGUCCUCUCUCAAAAAGCAAACAAUGUGGAUUGUUUUUAACAGUCCUCCUGACAAAGCGGACCCCACCAAAGUGGUGGGGUUUGGAUGGGGGGAAGUCCCUGCUGCAGUGUGCAGGGCUCAGCCUGCGGUGCACUCUCUGGUCCAGGGAGGGGAUGUGCAUCAGUGCCCUGCGCUGGGCCUGCUGUGGCACCUCAUAAAUAUUGCUGUUUUGCUGUUUAAUAGCAAGCUGGUCAUGCUCGAUUUGCAGCUGUCUUGAGAAUGCAAAAUAAGUUUGGGGUGAACAGAAAUUUCAGAGAUGUCAACAAACAAUCAGUGUUGUCGAGAGUGGUUUCUAUUAAAAAAAGAAAAAAAGGAUGUAUGAUCACUGAGUUAAUAUUCUUUACCCUUUUCUAUUCUUAUUCUCCUUUUGCUUGUUUGAGAUUAAAUGAUUAUAAGCAAACUCACUGCACAACUGACUCUUUGCUUAUUGUUCCUCCUCCUGUGAAGUGCGGUGCCAUCUGGCAAAUGGACAAGUGGGGAAGAUUGAUGGUUAACAAAGAGCACCAUUCAUUUUCUCCUACCAGAUCUGGACAGAAAGCAAACGUUUUUAAUCAAAUCUAUAUGUUUCUAAGGAAUAUUGGCUGCUGAAAAUUUGCCAAGGGCUGAAUUUUCUUCUCCCUCCCCCAUAAGGGAGAAUUGGAUCCUGCCAGGGAAGGGGCAGGGUGGGCACUUCGCUUCUUCAUGAGUUUCUUAUAUGCUGGUGAGAGAACAGGAAGGUAAAGGGCUGCUGGUGCUGGGGAGGGGGAGUGGUGGAAAUGUUAUGUGCUGUAGCAUGGAUAAUCUUGAAAUGUAGCAAUACAGUACUUCUGUUGGCCUUGCAAUGAAUCAUGCAAGACAGCCACUGGAGCAAAAUGCACUGUUGCUUUCAAUGAAGCAAUCAAAACUACAGUGCAAAGUUUGCCUGCAGUGGUUUUUCGUUUUUUUCAGAGAAAAAUUAAUUAUGCAUGGGUUGCCUUUACCAUCCCAUCUUCUUUCAACAAUUAUGUAGUCACAGAAUAGUGCAGGAAUUUGGGAUCCAUGGGACAGAGGGAAUCCAGCCGUGCUCAUCAGCUGGGAGGCACUGAUGGGCUUCUCCUGGGGGGAAAGAGGGGAGGAAGGUGCUGGCCCCAGGGAGCUGCCUGGCUUCAGGGCCAGGGGAGGGCCAGCCCCACAGCUUGGGUAGGAGGAGGAUGAGGAGAGCAGCUGGGAGCUUCUGGGGCAUGAGAGAUGCAGUCUGUGCUGCAGGUGCCUGUGGGAUGCAGAGCGGGACUUCGGCGUUUUGCCAAGAUUGGAAAAAAGAAGCCUCGUCUAUUUGAAUAUUAAUUUCAGAUGCCUUUUAUAAUGCCUAUAAAUUAAUAGGAUUUCAAGCACAGCAUUCAGAAGCAUUGUAAGGGGGAUAUGGGGUAGGUAGAGAUAAAAUGGAUUUUGCAGCGCUUUAUAGCUGUGGAAAGAAAAUGAUUUUCGUUUUUAUUUUUUUUUUAUUAUUUUUUUUUUCCUUUGAAGUGUAAUAAUGGAGUUAAUUAGCUCUAAGCACCUGGACUGGAAGCUCUUAAAAUGAUCCUUUCAUUGCAAAGUUCCUGAAUUUUCUGGAAGGUUGCAGCCACGUGCUUGUAACCAAGCAUGGCACAUGGAACCUGGUGCCACUGCAUCAGGCUGCAGGUUGGGCAUCACUGUCUGGAGAAGGGCCUCUCUUAGCAUUGGCAAGUUGCUGCUGGGUUCAAAUGUAAAGCCUCCUUUGCCGUGUUGCAUGGAGUGGAUCCUUGGCUGCCCUGUGUCUGUGUGUUAAUUGCAGAGGGUUUUGCCCCUGCCCUGAGCUGGGAGCACAGGAUUGCUGCUGUGGGCUGCGUGGUGGUGGGGAGCAAUGUGAUGGGAGCUGGAAGAGACCAUGCUGAUGUGGAAAGUUUCCAGCUGUUGUGUUUAUGUAACAGUGCAGAGCUGAAAUGGCUCUCAGAGCAGGCAGAUUUAUGUCCCUUCCAACACUUUCUGCAUACUGUUCCCCUCUUUUCUUUUUUUCUUCCUGCUGCUAUAAAUCUGGAUGCUUUUGCUGAUAUAAAUAUUCUGUCUUCUAAAGAAUUUUGCUAAGGUUUGUGGGCACUCAAUCAAGUCUCGUGGGUUUUGCGCUGUGAUUUUUUUUUUUUUCCUCUCUCUUUCCUUGAUCAGUCUUUAAUUAGUUUUAGAGUAUUUCCUCACUCGAGAGGUUCAGGUGCUGCGGGAGCACAGCAGCCUGCUCUCCCCGUGCUCACCCUGCUGCAGCGCCGGGUUGGGUGGAACAACCUGUCAGGUGCUGCUUGUGGAAAGGCCCAGGGUUGGGUGUGCAGGAGCUGCUGCUGCAGGGAGAGCAGUCUGUGUACCCAGCCCAGGACUCUUGCUGUGUGCUGUGCUGCUGCUCGCCUCUCAGUGCGCUCACUGUGUCCUGUUCUGUCCUUGAGCAGCAGUGCUGCGAGGAGCGCUGUGCGCAGCCUGCAGAAGGGAAGGGGAUGCUUCCCAUUGUCUGCAGUGGGUUGUGGAUUAAGUCUCGGGAGAAUAAUAAUAUCAUGGUUUACUUGGCAUUGAUAAUGGCAGCAGUGCUGGCUGAGUGCAGACAAUGAGCACGUUAUGGAAAACAUGAUAGCCCACUUCUGAACGGGAGGGGAGUUGCUCGGACGUGAAAGCAGCCCGUUUUGCAUACCGUUGUGUGGGAACUUUCAGCAGGGUACUUUGACAUGGAUUCCAUGUAGGUGAAGUGCCAGGCCUUAAGCAGACAAGGAUAUAAUGAAACUUCUGGUGAUACCAUGGAACGAAGCAUGUGCUCUGUUUUGAAAAUCCCCGUAGAGGUGUCUGUGGGCACUCCAAGUGGCACCAGCUGCUUGGUGCUCAGGAGGGGUUUCAGCCAGGAGCUGUGAGUUUGCAGAAGCGUGCCGACUCGGCACCAACGUGCUGGCUGCUGUGAGGCUUCCCAUGGGUGGGUUAGCCUGAUGUAGGUGGGGGAGGGAAGAAACACCUAAUAUAGAGCUUGGUCAAGUAGGGGAGCUGUGUGUGAUAGAUUUAAAAAAAAAAAAAAAAAAAAAAAUCCUGCUUUUAUUGCAUGGCACGGCAUAAUCCCUGGUAUCCUGUUUCAAAUCAAAGCUAGGUAGUACAGGAGAGGCUGAGUUCUGCUCUGACCUUUUCAGCUGAGGCCAGCUGGCAGGGGAAACCUCCGGCUCCCAGCACAGACAUGCACGUGGUGAAGGAGUAAUGCAGAGUUGCUUUGGGGGCUGGGAGGAAUCUUGUUGGCUUCCUAUUCUUUGACAAAAUUGCAUCUCGAUUCUUUAAAAGAAAAAAAGGGGAAAAAAACAUUAUUGUUGCAGUAGCUAACAGCUAACCUGUGCUUUCCUGGGUGUUAAUGCACCUUCUGGGAUGAGGGGCUGGGGAACACUCAAUGUAUUUGAUAAGAAGCAUUCUGGUGAAGCAGGGAUCUUGUAAAUUUGCAUUACCUUGUUGCUGGUCUCUGCAUCAGACAUUGCCCUUGUCCAGCCGUGGUGUGCAGUUGUGGUUCUGCUUUUUCCCUUUUGUGGGUGGCAAUCUGAAAUACGCAGCUGCUUUAAGGAAACAAAAAGCAAAAAAGGCCAUUGUGCUGUAGGGUUGUUUAAAAUCAGGUGAGGAAGUACGGGCAGAGGCUAAGCCAGUGUUUUUUAAAGCGGAGGAGUGCAAAUCCUCGAGGAACCCGGUGGUCUGAUGCUCAGAGGUAAUUAGUAGGUAGCCCUAUUAAUUUUAAUGGCAGCUCUGAGCCGUUAAAGCCUGGCUAUUGCCACUAUAUUUUAAAUAUUAUUAAAUACUAAAUACUGAAGCGCUUUAUUGCUCUCAUUAUAGAAAGAAGUCAGCUUGUUCUUCAGGUGCCUUGGUUCAAGUUGUUGUUUCUGGUGCCUGCUGGAAGCUGGCUACGGUCUCUGGGAGGAAGGCCGCUGUUCGGGUAGUUGUCUUUGGGUGCUGUGUUCAGCUUCAGGACAAGAAGACAACAGGCCUCCAGCCUGUUCUUGGUGAGGGGCACCUGCUGGUGAAGGCUUACCCCAAUAAUCCUCCAAACACAAAGCUGGACCCCAGUACCAGUGCCGCAGCCCCCGCCUCCAGGUGCUGCAGGUUCAGUUCCCUCCUCGUGCACUUGAGGUGGCCCUGAGCCCAACCUCAGCCUGUUUGCAACCAGAAGCGAGGAGAGUUUCACCUCUUCUUGGUGCUCUGCUGCAUACCAGGGGAGAUGUGCUGGAAACACCAAGUCUGUCUGCAGCGAUUCCUUUGAGGAGGCCUGGCAGCCCCUCAAAGUCAGAUCCCAGGCUGCUUGACGUCCACAGUGCAGCAUGAAUUGCCUUUCAAGUGAAGAGAUGAGAGCAUUCCCAUGGCUCUUCUGCAUUUCCCUCCCGGGUUGCUCUGAGCAGCACUGGAACUGGCCCAGGAUGGGGAGCUGCCCAGGGGCUGGUCCUGGCUGCCUGCUCUGUGGUGUCCUGCCACAUCUCCCUUCUAUUUGCACACGCGUUGAGCGUUUCAAAGUUUGCCAUUUCUGAUGAUAUGGAAGGACUGGGAGAGAAGGUGAUGAAACCAUGCCCCAUUUACCAGGCAACUUAUUCAUCCAUUGCUGAGGCUUUUUGCUACCUGUACAACAGCUGUGAAAGCAGAAAGCGAGCCAUGCAGUGCGCAGCUCUGGGUUGCUCCUGCCCUUGGCCUCCCUUUACUUGGAAGCAGAGUCCCAGUGUGACACGCUGCUGUUGUCAGGUCUUGUAGCAGAACAGCAUGGCCGUGCUGCUACCUUCCCAGCCAAGGGCUGCCAGCAGUCGAUGCAGCAGCACCCCGGCUGGUGUGGGGUGAGGCUUCCUUUGCAGCUGAGCAGAUGUCUGCUCAUCUCCAUGAGACACUACCUUGCUGUUCUAUCAAGCCGUGCAGAGGACAGAUGUUGGGUGGAAGCACUGAAAUAUUUAACUAGGAUAUUUUCCCCCCUGCAGCCACAGUUGCUUGUUGGGCCUAUUAAUCUUUUACAAGACUUGCAUCUGCUCAGAGGUGUUGGCUUCUUUUCAGGUUUUGGAUGAACUUUGUGUGCAUGUGUCUGGUUUGAACGAGUGGUGUAAAGAGCAAAUGUGUGCAUGGAGAAACUGAAUGCAUGAAGGAGGUGAAUUUAUCUAUCAGCUACUGAAAGCCUCUUGUAAUAAUAUAAAUAUUAUAAUGCUCCUUCUCCUAUGGAUCUUUGCCUUUUUUUUCUAUGUGGAGUGUCUUUAACCUCUAGUUUGUACAAUUAAGAUUUCUAUUGGCGUAUCCUCAAAGAGAGCUUGUCCUUAUGUAUGUGUGGCCUUGUAAAGUGUAUUGCUGGAUGAUUAAGUGCUCAUUUGCCCCACUGUCCUUCCUAGUCUCAUUAUUGGCACAUUUAAGUAGAUCUGAAGAUGGUGACAUCUUUAGAGGUUACAAGAGGGGAAGGGGUAGGAACUCAUCAGUAGUUCGUCACUGCUCGUCCCAAGUUAGCAGCUCUUUUGUUUAUCAGGGAUUUAUUUUCAGCUAGAAUAUUACUAUUCUGUAAUGCUUUAUUCUUCUGUGUACACUUCUGAUUGUAGUUGCUUGUGUUUCCAUUUCCUCUCGUUGUAACAUUGGCACUUGCACCAUAGCUGGUGAUGGAACCAUCGUGAGAGUCCUGAAUAAUGCGACAGAUUGAAAAAGCAAAGAAACCACUUGCAUGCAAAACUUAUCCCCCCCUCCCCAAGGAGUAGCCUUGUUGGACCAUAUUUUAUACACUGUGUUACACUUCAGAAAGAGGGGAAAAAAAAACACGCAUACAACCUCCCUAAUUAAUACUUAAUAAGGAUUAAUACUGGUCGAGUAAUUAAAAAGCUCUCUGAAGCACGGUUUUUCCUUUUUUGCUGCUGACUUAGUAGCUGAUAGUCAUGCAUGGUUGAUGUUGUCUGUUGCAGCCUGCUUUUCUUUGUGUUGCAUUUCUGAGUUUAAAGUUGCAUGUUGACUUCUAAUAUCUCUUGGAUGUAACCCAGUUUUUGUUUUCUUUAAACUUAGUUCAUUUAUUAAUUCCCUUUUUCUCUGUGUUCAGUGAAUUGAAGUAGAAUGAGAAAUUGCCACAUAUACUCACAGAGCUUCCCCCUCUCCUAGUAGAUGAGUUACUCGCUCUGCAUUUUGAGAAGAGUAACACUGGUUUGAAAGUAAUUUAGCGCAGCUAGAGUUCAUCUGACCACUUGGAGAGCAUCUCAGGGCAAUCCUGGGAGAUGGUGGUGCGUAACAAGUCAUGUCUCAGCAGAACAGGCUCAUCUGGUGAGAAGCUCUUAUGCAUACAGUCAGUCUGGUUCAGGUCUGGAAUUAAUUCAUUUAUAAGAAUUAAGUUUUCUUCUUUGAGUAAUCAUAUUUAAGUGAAAUAUGAACCUGUUGUUUAGUCUCUGUGCUUUGCUCGAUGCUUCUGUUUGUGAUCUUCCUCAUUUAGCAGAAGGAGAUGGCAAAGUCUCAGCAACGUCUUUUCUCAGUAGAUGUUCUCAAAAUGCUCACUCGGUUGUAAUUGAAAAUUAAUUGUUCAGCUGUCUGUCUUCUGUCUUCAUAUCUCCCAUGUUCUGCCCAGUAACAUUCUUCUCCCGUAUGAUUCAUUAGUCUUCCGAUUGCUUAAAAAUAUCGUAGACAAGGAGGACAUAUUAGCAAAGUCGUAACUAUAUUGGCAGAUGGAAAUAAUCCCUUCUCAAGUGUCUCCGUACGUGCCAAGAUCACAUCGUGCAUGCGGAGAAUAAAUGAGCGCUGUGAUUGAGCUCAGGCUGCUGAGGGGCUCCUGUUAAUCACGAGCAUGGCUGGGUGGGGGCCUGCAGACCUGAAUGAAAAGGCCAAUGGAUGCUGUUAGGAAUUUGUAUUGCCUUUUGCUCAUCAUCAUCAUGCUUUAAAUGUAACUCCCUGCCGCCCGCCUGUUCCUCCUAUGAGCUCUUCCUGCAGACCUCAGCUCGGUUGUCUCCAUGCAUGUGGGAGUGUGGCAGUCUCACAUUUGAAGGCCCUUCAGAUUGAAUAAAAUGCAGUAAAUUUAUGGGAUUGCUGCAUUAAUCUCCCCAAUAACUGCAGAUUUGUUGUGUCCUGCCUACCCAAUUCUGCAUCUCCCAGCAUUAUUGGUUAUGCUAAAAGUUCCACACUAACAUGUCUUAUUGCAGCAGGUUUUGGCGUUCUGGCUGCGAGCAUUGUGUGCUGAUACAGCGCAGCUGCAGUCCUGCUGGUGUUCUCACUUCAGUAAGUUGCUGCUUUUUGAGGGAGAUAAAACCACAGGCUGUUGAAAUUAUAUGGUAUAAUAAUGGAGUCAAAUCCACAUGCUCAAGUGAUCCUGUGUGUUUUGGGUGUUUUAUUAAAUUGAUGAGUAGGUAAAAAGUCAGACUUAUUCGUCUUGCUGCUAGGAGCUGUGAGACGCAGACCUUUCCAGUUAGCUGUUUGCAGGAAACAUCAUCAACAUUUUGGCCCCUUCUCGCCAAAGCAUGAGAGGAUGUAUGAUGUCCUCCCGCGCAGAUGUAAACGGCUCUGGGAUCUCUGCAGUUUGUACCUUCUGACUGCUCAAUUCAUGGUGGGUUCCAACUGAAGUUUGUUUAUUGCAGAAACACUUAGACCGAAGUUGAAACCAAUGGAUUAGCUUUGUUCUGUGAUCCUUUCAAAACUGUCACGUGCCAAAUCCUCAGAAACAAUUGCCAUUGAAAAGCUGAAUGCAUUUUUCCUCCCUGUUCUGAAUGGCAGAAUGUGCAAGAGCAGCAUUUUUAAUAUUUGAAAGUUCCAGGAGCGGCAGAGGGACGUGUGAUCCCAUUCUGGGGUGUCUUUCACACAGUGCUGUCUGCUCCUUGAAAGUGCCACAGGACAGCAAACGGGCAGUGCUGUCUCUGCGGGCUGAGGAGGGAAGGAGAGGCCCUGGGAGUGCCUGGUGGGGAUGGUGUGGGUCCCCUGGCAGAACAUCCCUGCGUGGUACCCGAUGUGCUGCUGCAGGCAGGGCUCUGCCCCACAGCACAGCUGUCGGGUGGUCUUGGGUUGGGAAGGACAUUCUGCAGCACUGUAAUAAUUGAGAUAUUUGUUUCUGUGGGAAAAGAGAAGCGUGGUUCAGAAGGCAGCCAGGUUUUGCAGAGAUAAAAGUAACAUCUAUUCCCAUCACCCUGCUGGUUUUCGCCGUUCUCUGCUGCUGCUGUGUGCUGUGAAAGCUCAGUUUCCCUGCCUCGGAUUUAUUGAGGGAGCAUGAGAGGAAAAUGAAACGAAGCAAUGUAUUUGCUUUGUUGUCUUCUCGCUGUCAAUUGAGUCUUAGUGGUACCAUUAGUCAUUUUAUGACACGUUUACCUUACCUGAGUGAGUUUUGCUCCCUGCUCAGUGUGUUGGGCUGAAUUUUUAAACAUGUUUUUGUUCCAAUCCCUGAGAUUGGAAAGCAUGCUUUUCAUAAAGUUGGUUCCUUUCUGAGCUUCCACAGCACACCUCUGCUCAGCCCUCCGUCAGCUGGCACUCAGAGCUCCCAGGGCUGAGUGAGCUUUGUCUCUGUUGACACAAUUAGUUGGUUCACAGUGUGAGUGAGACAGCGGCUGCGUGCAGGUCUGCUGGAAUGCAGUUAUAGAGCAAUAACAAACCAUCAGAGCAGUGAGAAUGACCAAAGAAUCGUGAUUUCUGUGGAGGGCUCUGCACUGUGGGAGUGGGCAGGACAAUCCCGGUGCUUCUCUCACUUGCAUGAACGCACAAAUCCAUUGGUACUGUUGCCUUUCUCUUGGUGCCAUCCACUUCUGCCCUUGAUGCUGAGUAAAGCUGCUGGGGCUGAAGUGCAGGGUGUGGAGUGGGGACCUUCCUUGAGCACGGUGCCACUGCCUGAGCUGUGCUGCCUUGCAAGCCCCAAGAGCAGCUGAAAUUUGUCGUCACCUUCAUGGAGCUGGUUAAGAAAAGCUAGGCUUCCUUUUCUGUGUGUUGAAGCUCUGGAAUCCUUUGAGUGUUUGCAUGCAGCUUGUGAUUCCUAUUAAUAACAACUGGUUUAUAAAAUGUGGUUACUGGAUUUGGCAAGCGCAUAUUGGCAGCAAGGCAACACAAUAGUCAGCUGAAUGCAAGCAGCAGGCUGCUAAUGCACCCCUACAGUAUCCUUGUUUGUGCAUUCUGAAAUUAUUAUGUUUGGUCUGUACUUGUGUUAAGUGCAUCUUGGGUUCAGCCAUUAGAAAUUUGAAGAUCCUGAUAGCAAAUAAGCGGUCUGCUUUGUAGCUGUAUUGGUCAAAACAGAAGUGUUAGAGAUAUUUUCAGAGAGAGAUCUUUGAGCUGAAUGCUGCAAUUACAGAUAGCAAACUGGUUCUGAAAGCUGACUGUGAUGGGUAGGGGAGGGCUAAAAAUAUCUCUAAUCGUAAUAGUUGGGUUUUGAGCAUUUCCUAUAGUGAUCUUACAUCUGUAACUGCAGAUGGAGAAAUCUUCAUGUGAAGCCUUGAGUGUGUCAGAACUAAUAGGGAGGCAAUGAAAGGAAGCCCGCUGUUAAAUGAAUUGUUGCCUUUUGGCCCCAUGUGGAUCUGCAGCCAGUUUUUCUGUUGUCCCAUCACCUCCAGGCUUCUCCAGAUCCCACAUUUCUGGUAGGUAGAACUUCCAGUUUGUGUCCCGUGGCCCAUGUGGGAGCAAUACCACGACUGUCUUGGCACAAACCUGCAAUCUGUGUCUCCUCAAAGUGCAAGCUCAGGCAAGUCCACAAACCUAGGCUGUCAAGUUCAAUCUAAAGAAAGAAGAUUUUUAUUUAGUUUUGGUUUUUUUAACAAGCGAACAUCAGAAAGGCAAGCCAAUGGCAUCGUACCACAUUAUUGCUGUGUUGUGUUUAGGGUUAUAAAGCUUACUGUAAGACUAACACAGACUGGCAUCUGUUUUGUUUCAGCUUUAGCAUUUGAGAAUGCUAAAUGAUAACUUGCUUUUGAGACCCAGUCAGAUAAUGUAAGAGGGAAGGUUAGUCCAGCUCGCUCAGCACAGAACUGCUUCCCCCCUUGAACUGUCGGUGCCGAUGGCUCGGAGGCUGGUGAGGAGCUUGCAAGUUGGUUUGGAAGACAAUUCUUUUGAACAUAGACAGUAAUUUCAUAAUUAGCCCUUAAAAUUGCAUGGUAGUAAAAGCUCAGGAAACACGAAAGAUCACAACCAUGAAAGCAUCUGGUUUAUAUUUUAGCUACUCUUGUCCUGAUCCCUUCAGCUGUCCUCAAAAAAGGAAAGGAAAAAGAUGGUGUGCUUUGAGUUAGCAUAGGACUGCUUGGAGGCUUAAGGGGAAGAUGAUUAAAGGCAGCUACUGAGCUGGCCAGAAGCGUGAGCCAUGGCGAUGCUUUGGUAGAGAGUGGAUUAUUUUUGCAUGGUCGGAAGUGUGUGUGCAUUUAACUGGCUGAGCUUCCUUAUCUUCACUACUUACUGGGGUGCAGCUGAGUCCAGGUAAGAUCACACUCAGAACCCGGUGAUGCGAGCAAUGCCUGUGCAGAGCACAGAGCCCUGUGUCCUGUAGCAUGAGCUCUGAGUUUAGGUAGGACUUCCAGUAAACAUGUGAUAGCUCAAAACUCACAAUUAAAAAAAAAAAUAAAUAGUUGGAAGGUUUGUUGAAAAGGGAUUCAAAACUGUUUCCACUGUUGUUCUCUGCUUAAUUUUUUUUUCCUUCCUUUUGGAGAAAGUGCGUUGUUCAAAAUGAGACAGAGAGGGACAACACUGGCAUAAAUUCUUGCACCAAAUUGUUAAAAAUUAAUGUUAGCCCCUCUUGUUUUCCUCACUUAAAAGCUGAUAGCUGCUUCAGGUCAGUGCCUUAUUUUUGGCGUUCCCGUGGCCUGCACUGCACGUAAGCAGCCAGUUUAGUCACAUACGGCAAUUCUUCUUUUCAAACACAGGUUUUCUAAACCAGCUUAGCUCCUAAUUACAAGGCUGCUUAAGCUCAAACCAUUUGAAGUACGCUUAGAGUUGGUCCACAGGAGACUGCAGCUAUUUACUGCGUUAUUUUAAAAUCACACCUUUCCAUGUCAGCAAUUGGAACCUCACAGCUUAUAAUUAUCCCUGCUGAGGCCCUCUGUGUCCGGCCUGGGUUGCAGCCUGCAGCUCUCCGGGCAGAGCAGCAGGCUCUUUGCUUCUGUCCGUUCUGGUACUUCAGGCACUUCUUCAUUUCCAGCAUCCCUACUGGUAAUUGAAUAGAAUGAGGAGUCACAGAUCAACAAAAUGCAGGAGAAUCAAUUUAGCAGUCUUUAACUUUGCAUUGUAGAAAGGGAGGAUGCAGCUGAAUUGCUUUCUUUUAAUAGGAGGGGUAUUUCUAAAAUAGUGAUGAAAAACAUUUGCAUUAAUGUUCAGUCUAAACAGUGCUUGGGAUGCUUGUUGUCUGCCUCGUAGCCUUGUUUUUAAAUGUCAGUUUGCUUUUUUAUAAGAUUAAGAGCGCAGCGAUGACUAACAUCACAGCUUUACCCAACAGCUUUACACGUUGGAAUAUUCCUACGGCCUUCAGCUGAAAAAUAAAUAAAAUAAACUAACUGGGAAACAGUCCUUUCGGGGAAUUCGUUAGUGGAAGGCUCAUGGGAUCAUACAGUGUGUUGUCUUCCAAAUUGUAAUUUUCCCAUUAAAUCCAUGUGGAUCUCUUUUGUUUUUUUAAUUCUUUUUUUUUUUUCUUUUCUUUCUUUUUUUUUUCCUUCUGGGCAUGUCUGUGUGAGACUGAAGCCCAGAUGUACCCAACUCUGAAGGGAAGGACAGGGUUGCUUCCUUCCUUCUGUCCUUCAAAGACAGAUAUUACUUGCAGAGAUCCAGGGCUAUCAAGUCCUUUUCUGGAGUACCAAAUGGAGUAGGCAGGCUCUGGCACUGAAAAGCAAAAUGCAGACUAGCAAUUUUCCUCAGGUCUGUAAUUGCACCCACAUGGUGGUUAUUAAUGGGGGAGAUGCAAGUGCUGAAAGCGAGGAGUGGAAGCUGAACCUCCGGCAUGCAGAUCCUGCUGGGCCCCUGGUGCUGUGAGGGACGUGUCUGGAGCACAGCAGAAGGUCACCUGCUUGGUCUGGAAUGGUUUCUUUUUGGCUUUGAUGCAGGCUCAGGUAACUUGCAGAAUGCACAUCAGUGCUCGGCUGGGUUUUGCCGUUUUGCCACCACGCGGGUCCAUCUGUGGGGCUGCAGCCGUGGCAGCAGGAGCGUGAUGGGGGUAAGGUGAGGUGCUGAGCCUCCUCUGCAUUUAGCACCUUGUCCACAGAGCUGUGAUCUUAAGCCUUAAAAUCGAUGAUCUUGUCAUGGUGAUACUUCCCUGCCUCUUGUCACCUUUAUGGCUGUUCUGCUUAUGGUAGUAUUUUAAAGCUCAGAAACAUAACACUUGUGUAUUUUCAAGUGAUACUUAAACUGUAACUGUAGAAACAUGCCUUUUUAUGUGGCAGUGGAGCGAUACUUGGCCAGUGUCAUCCUCAGCCUUAAUUUUAAUUCUGGCAGAAUUACUGUGUUGCACAGGGAAGGAAGCCAUGCACUUUGCAUGGAGCUCUGGGACCCGGCGGACUCUGCCCUGUGCUAUCUGCAGGCUGCACUGUGCUGCUGGGCUGUUAACUCCUGCUGGCAGGGAGAGCUGAGGGCUGCCCUGGCACUGCCAACCUCAGAUCCACCAGCCCUUAAAGCUGCUUUUGUGGAAGCAAGCGUGUAACAGACGUAGCUCUUCUUUUGCCAGGUGGUUCAGACUGUCGUGGUGGUUUACAAGUGAGAUGUAUUAAUAAUUAAUGUUCGUAACAUUGCCAUUAUUAUUAGCACUAUUUAUUCACAGCUGCAUUGAUCCUCCUUCCUUCAGCCCCAGCUGAAGUGUGAGGGGCUGAGUAAAGCCUGUGGUUUGAUGGGGAGAGGUGAGAGGGGGCAGAGGGGACUUGAUCUGUGUGGAGCAACCUGCAUUGAGAGCUUGGCUUCUGGGGAAAGGGCAUGGAAAGGAAUGAGAGCAGAAAUAACACAAGGGGCCAAGAAUGCAAUUUUGUCUAAGCAAACUUUUGUAGCUUAAAAACCAAACAAAAACACCACUUCUGGUUGAACAAGGGGAGAGGAUGGUGAUGGUAAAGGGAGAAAAUGGAGGGCAGAAGUGUGAAUUCAGCAGCACACAUACAGCAGUCUGGCUGCCUAGGGCAGGCUGGAAAUGCUGUGCCUCCUGCCCUGGCAAGGCAGAGCUUUCAGACAUAACCAUGGCAGCUAAAUGGCUCUGGUUAAGGUUGGUGCCUGCCUGGGCUUCUUUGUGCGUCCCAACCUCCUGCUGGCUGUUGGGGUCCUGGCUUGUGUGUGGCAAGGGAGGCCAGUUCUGAAACAGCUUGCAAAUGGACACUAUUGCAGUUCUAAGGGUCCGUGAGUGGAAGAAAUUCUUGCUUGACCUGCUGGUAUCAGAGGGAACUUCCUUCAGGGUGGAUUUUUGCAGCACAUAUUUCCAAUCCAUAUUCCCAACAGUUAUCAGAGCCAAGUUAUGAUGUUCUCUGGGUUUUUGUUCCCAGGGCCAACCCACCCUCAACUUUCAUUAGCAAAUAAAAGCACCGCAUGACCCACACUCUUGGCUAGCACUACCCCAGCCAUAUUGUAAGCAUUUGAAGUAAUCACACAGCUUUCAUAGCUUUCCCAAGCAAGCUCAGUAAUUUUAUGUUUGGGGAGUUUGAGCCAAUUGGUCCCACUUCCAAGAGAAACGCUGCAUGUUCACCCACUUUACCUUUAAGCAAAAGAGAGGAUUCAUAUGGCUCAUGUUUUAUGGUCUCUCCUAUAUUGCUAUACCACUGCCCUCCUGAAAUUUCUUUUACUGUUGAAGAGUGGCAUUGAACAUUUUUCUUCUUGAGUUCCCUUAAUAAAGUGAAAUCACUGAGGUACUUGUCUGGGUGGGGUGAAUUUAACCAUACCUGAAGAUGGGCUUGUGGUGUUUGGAGUCAGCUUUGACAGAUUCUUUUGAAGUACUCAAAAUACAACAAUCUGAAAACUGGUGCAAUGGAAACUUAAUCUGCAAUCACAUGGCCUGCAUGCCCUCGGGAAGGAGUAGGUGCUCCUAGCUGCCUUCUCAUCCAUCCUGUUGUUGGGUUUAGGGAGAAGCUGAAGGGGAUCUUAGAGCUGCUGGGAGAGACUUCACCAGUUUGAAAUGGAAAGGGGGAAGUGAAUGGGCUCUAGGGAUAGUGGUGAAUUAACAUCUGGUAAAAAUUAAGAAUUACUUACUGCACUAAUUAAAAAAAAAAAAAAAAAAAGAAAAAAAAGGUAAGGUGGCUAGCAG